rnacentral:tRNA from 1 species
GGGGUGGUGGCGCAGUUGGCUAGCGCGUAGGUCUCAUAGUAUCCUGAGGUCGAGAGUUCGAGCCUCUCUCACCCCA